UACAGAGGGUGCAAGCGUUGCUCGGAAUCAUUGGGCGUAAAGGGUAGGUAGGUGGUCUCAUUUGUGUGGGGUGAAAGCCUUGGGCUUAACUCAAGAAGUGCCCCGCAAACGGUGAGACUGGAGUCCUAGAGAGGUUAGCGGAAUUCCCGGUGUAGCGGUGAAAUGCGUAGAGAUACGGAAGGAACACCAGAGGCGAAGGCGGCUAACUGGAUAGGCACUGAACACUCAACUGACGAAAGCGUACGGGGAGCAAAC
rnacentral:rRNA from 1 species